UACGAGGGAUGCAAGCGUUAUCCGGAAUUAUUGGGCGUAAAGCGUUCGUAGGUGGUUCGGUAAGUCUGUCGUUAAAGCAUGGAGCUUAACUCCAUAUCGGCGAUGGAAACUGCCAAACUAGAGGGUGGUAGGGGUAACAGGAAUUCCCAGUGUAGCGGUGAAAUGCGUAGAUAUUGGGAAGAACACCAGCGGCGAAAGCGUGUUACUGGGCCACAACUGACACUGAGGGACGAAAGCUAGGGGAGCGAAAGGG
rnacentral:rRNA from 1 species